CGGGCGCGGGCUCGCGAAGGCGAGGCCGUUGGGCUGGUAGCCCAGCUUGCGGGAGACCGCGAGCGAGGGCUCGUUCCAGUCGAAGGCCCCCGA
rnacentral:tRNA from 1 species